GCCUGCGUAGCUCAGUGGAAAGAGCGUCCCCCUCCUAAGGGGAAGGUCACGGGUUCGAAUCCCGUCGCGGGCU
rnacentral:tRNA from 1 species